GAGGGGCCUGCGGGCCGGGUCCCAUCAGCCCAGCAGAAGAUGCUGUUUCGAACGGGACCGCUCCUACCCAAUCGAGAUAGAAAGCUACAUACUAUUAUUCAUUAUCCAACUCCAUUGUCCAUUUUCGUAUUCACUCUUUUUUCCCCCCAGGAAACCUUUACUUUCUGCUUAAAGAGGAAUCACAAAUGGGCUGAGAGUGGAAGCGCUCACUUUCACGACAGAAUUCAGGAAAUAGGAACCAUGCUACCUAGUGAUCUUGCCUGUUCAACCUGUUCUUGCUUUUAUAAGUGACCCUGUAAUCUGUUACCUUUUUCUCUCAUUCCUCACGUUAGCACACUGGAAUAAGCAUAAUUUGUUUUUCGUUUCUUAUCAGUUUUCAAAAAAAUAGCACACCUUUCAAACUCUUAAAAUAUUUAUAAGCAUAAGGCUUCCUUGUUCAAUGGAGGGAAAUAAGAACACAGAUAGACACUAAUUCUGUAACACUGCUGAACUUAGCGAUUGGUGAGCCUGUGUGGUGUGCAAUCACUGUGCCAUGCUGGACAGGAAGCACGCUUUCCCUGUGAGCUGCAAUAAGCAUGAGGUAAAUGUGCUGAAGAUUCAUUAUGAUUUCACAAUGAUUUUUCACCUAGAAAAAUAAAAGAAAAAACAAAGCUUUGUUUUAAAAAAAGAAAUAUAGAUAGAGAAAAAGAAAUAGAAUCACAUGUAACCUCACUUUUAAAAUAACCACUAUGAAUACGUUGUAAAUAAAUUUCUUGUUCUUUCCAACAUGUACGUAUACGGAGAAGCAUUAAACUAUACAAGCUCAUCUCCAAACUGCUUUUGUCUCUUAGCAAUCUAAUGUUUUUAAGUGUGAUUGUAAAAUCGCAAAACAAAUUUAUAAAUGUUAAUUUUGAGUUCUCAAAAAUUUCCCAAGUAGUUGUGAGAGUUUCUAAAAAUAAUCUUCUUGGCCAUAUUUCUCUCCCCAAAGUACCAAGCUCUUUUCUACUUUACUGCUUCUCUUAUUGAGAUCAAGAACAGAAGUGUGACCGUGUCCUCCCCUCCCCCUUCCCCGUGGCAGCAUCUUUGCCACUGCUUGUGGCAUCUAACGUGUGGGAGAAAGCACGUGAUGCUUGAUGCCUGAGAUACAGGUGUUUGCACCGAGUGUGCCAUGCCCUGCCUUUAUGAACAUAAUUGAAACUAAUGGAGAUGUUGAGUUUUGUUCUCAAUGAGCCUGGUAUUUUGUUCUUUACUCUAUUUUUUGUCAAAGCUCCCCUUGCCCUAGUGCUCGUGCGUUCAUCUGUUCAUUCAACAAGUACAUGGUCCCAGAAAUACAGAGAUGGUAGAAAGCAAUACAGACAUGACCCCUGGGCUCACGGAGCCUCUGUCAAGUAGAGGAAACAGGCCUUCGGUUGCACACACCCCUACGAAUGCAUAAUUUUCCUAGGAAGGAGACUACAGGUGCUGUGCAGGAGAACAGCAGAGGGAGCACAGUCGAUGCUGCGGACUCAAGGAGGCUGCCCUCAGAUGGUGAGUCAGUGGGUGCUGGAGAAGCAUAACCUGGACCUCCAGCACCAGCUGGUCCCACAAUCAUUUUCCCCUGAUGCUCUGGCCCAUCUUCCUAGAAGUCACCUUCUAAACCCAGCCUCUCUUCUUAGAAUAAGCUCUUCCUCCAAGACUCCUCCGUCCUUUGAUAAAAGAAUUCUGUUGGGCUGUCCCUCAGAACUCUACAUAUCUAGAAUCCUGCAAUAAACUCAGUUUAUAAACACAGUUUCAAAUCUAUCCAUUUUCAUACCUUCCCAUACAAUGAUGGUUAGAAAGAGCUUCUCAGUAAAGACAAGCUAAUAUCCAGUCUAGAUGAUUUUUGUAAUGGAAGCAACUACUUCAUGAACUAUCUAUUAGAGUGCUAACACUACUCAGUGGUACUCUGUGGUACAAGGAUCGUACAAUGGCUUUCAUAACUGUAGAAGAAUAAUGGAUUGGAAGAAAAGAGAAGUUCUCUUAUUUUUCCUCAAACACGUUUGCUUUUGUCCUGUGAAUAACAGAGAAUUUUCACAGGAGGGCUAGAGGAAGACUGACAGAGAAGGAGGGAUCGAGGGGGGGAGAGGGACCGAGAGAGAGAACGAAACGGUUAUGGUAUUUUAAUUACUACGGUUGUUUGUGCUCUCCAGUUUUCCCUGACUUAAUGAAUGAGAUACAGUUGUACUCCAGUACCUUUCAUUUAUAGAGUUAGGCAAAUGUCUCUUGCUCCAUCUUUUUGAACAAUUUCAUUUUUCUUUAAUGACAUUUCUCUGUACUCUCCUUCUCUAUGCACAGACUGGGUGACAGGGGCUUUUAAUAGGUAAUGAUUGUUUCAUAAUAGAAUCUGAUGAUAACCUUGGCCUCAUAAAGUCUUGCACAUGCGUUGGAGCCAUUUAUGAAAAUAUAUGAAUCAAUGACAGAGCUGCUGUGUUUUAGGUGAACGGCAGCUAGAAGCACAGCCUUUUAAAACAGCUCGUGGGCUUCUGAGCAUGACUUCCGCGUGGGAACGAGAAGACAGACGCGCACAGCUGAGUGAGUUGUCAAUGGGAAUGUUGUGAAUUAAAGCAGAGCUCAAGGGGGUCACAAAAAUUAGAGGCCAUUGGGGCCGGCCCUGUGGCUGAGUGCUUAAGCUUGUGCGCUCUGCUUCGGUGGCCCAGGGUUUCGCAGGUUCAGAUCCCGGGUGUGGAUCUAGCGUUGCUCAUCAAGCCAUGCUGAGGAGGCGUCUCACCUGCCACAACUAGAAGGACCCACAGCUAAAAAUAUACAACUAGGUACCAGGGGACUUGGGGAAGAAGAAGGAAAAAGAAAAUCUUUAAAAAAAAAUUAGAGACUAUUUCUCUCCUCAUUAUUAAAUCUGAGGUUGUCUUUACCUCAACACUUUAAAAUCUUAAAUGAUGAAUUUAUCCACAAAAAAAAAAUCUUAUAAAAAUAUUUUGUCUCAAACUGCUUAGGUUAUUAACUCCCUAUUUUCAAGAGACGUUCCUUUAUGUUGCCAGAAAAGUCAGCUUGUUGUAUCACGGAAUUCUGUUCCGUUAAAUUUUUUCAUUUGUUUUCCCGGACUCCAUCCUGCAGUGGUGAGUGAAGCGAGAAAUCAGAAAAAAGAGGGCAGGAAAGCAGAUGUAAAUGCACAUGCCGACCUUGAAGGCGCCGCCUCAGCUCUAGACGCAGCUGGACGCAGAUGCAGCUGGACCGAGUUGCUAUCAGGGCUCAGACCCCUCCGCUGGGCGGCGGGUCGGAGUCCUCGUGCUUCAGGAACACUCCCACCUCCUUGCUCUAGUAUCUCGUUCCUCUCCUUGUUACCCAGGAAGUCUAACUGCCUAUAUUUAAGGCAACAAUUCUGUGGCCCUCAGUCUUUCAGCAAUAAGAAACAAGAGUGAGACUUGUGUGAUGAUAUGAUUAUCCCAGGCUAUGUAAAACCUUGUUUAUAAAACUAUUCACGGCUUAAGGAAAAUUUUCCUUGUCAUAAAAAAAAUUCCUCUGAUUGUUCAAUCAGUUGGUAUUUUAGAAACCUGGAACCUCCUUAUGAAGUGCAGUAUGGCUAAAAGGGCUUAAAACUUACCAUUUAUUGAUACAAUUGCAAGUGAAUUUCAUCAGAAAUCAUAAUAGCGAUACCAUGUAUUAAUCAUUCAUUCUCUACUACAUACUGUGCCCAGUGCCCUCUAUGUGACCUUAAUUAAUACUUAUAAUAAUAUUUUGAGUAAAGGAGUUAUUCUCAUAUCACAGAUGGAGAAGCUGAGGUUUAGAAAGUAGCAAUAUGUUCUAUGUGGCUAGAAAGUGCUGGAGCCAGAAUGCAAACCCAGAAUGUGGGCCCUAAUCUCUGACUUCAACUCACAUUAAAUGACACAUUUUGGGAAAUCUUUUGAUUGUCUCCAAGAGAAAGAUGUUUUUGAAGUAAGAAUAUUCUACAAUUUUCUUUCUGAAGCAUUAAGGGAAAGUAUUUAUGCUCAUUGAUUUUCUGCCCAAUGUGCAGACAUUAAAAAGAUAAGCACAAUGUGAAGUUUAUGUUGUGCCAGUUUUUUAGCAGUCAGCUAUUACAGGAUUCCCAAACUGGAAAAAAUAAACUGGCUUGGGAUGAGUAAGAAUCCAGGUCACUUUUGAAAUAUCUCAGUGGUUUUUUAGCUAUUUUUAAGUUAAGAUAUUUUGUUCUGAUGUAGUGAUGUAAGUAGAACAUAGUCCAUGGUCACAGAGCUUAAAAAUUCUCACAAUGCGCCCAGAAAAAGUUCAUUAUUCCUCCCAUCUUGUGUACUAAAGGAUAGACAUAUUGCAAUACGUCGGUACGGAUUAUAACAUAACAGCGACCCUUUACCGAGCGCCUCCCGCACGCCAGCUUUCACUGAACUCUCCCAGCGACUCCGGGAGGCAGACACCCGCGCGUCCCGGGAGACGCGACCGGGGGCUCCGCGCUUCCCCGCGCACCAAGUGAUGGAAGCCGGGCCUGCCUGGAGCCCGGCGCUCUGCGCCGUCUCCUUCUGUGCUGUGUUUCCGUGUUAAACAUACUGUAUGUUGCCAUUAUGUUUAAACAUUUAUUUUCUGGAGUUGUUUUCCACGGCGACCAAAAUAGAUCACCUUAGCUUAAGUUUCUUUAAUUAUCCAAUCGGUUCGGUAGCAUUUUUGGUUUUUCUUUCUUUCAGCACAGAAUAAUCGUGAUGUUAUAUUUUUUUUCAGUUCAACCUUUCAUUUACUCAGUAAACAAUCAUUCGGCAAAUGCUAGUACUAUCUGUAAACCCCUUUUGCUGGGCGUUUAGGGGAGUUACAAAGACUCUGUUAGUGCCUUCAAGCACCUAAGGGAACUUGAAGCAGGGUCGUUGUAUCCGAGUAAGGCUCACUUGAGUAACACGGACAACUGACUGCAGUGCAGGAUAAAGUAUUACCAUAAAAUAGUUGAGAAUUAGGCACUGUAGGAGUUGAAAGAAGGGAUUCAUUUUUAUCGGGAUAGAGGGCAGGAAAGAUUCAUAAAGGAAAUGGAACUGGGAUGGAAUUAAGGCGGCCUAAAGGGUGACUAUUUGCUCUCAGAGAUAUUACAUUCAGAAGGGACCUUCGAUACAUUGUACCUGAUUCUCUCAUCCUAAAGGAGAGAGCACUGAGAACCAGAAGGUUAAUUGAUUUCCCAAGGUCACACUCUCCCAUCUGUAAACCCCACUUCAAUUCCAAACGCGAAUGCUUUCUUAGUACUUUUUUCAAAUAGUUUUCACAGAUUGUCCUGAAUUCAGUAUUGGUUACCUUGCUCACAUCUUAGAUACUCUCAAGAAGCAAAUAAAAUAAAACAGACCUUUAGUAAUUAGCAAAAAUCAUUAAUAAAAAGUAAUGCUGACUAGGCAAAUCUGAGGUAGAGUCUCAGAUUUAGUGCCAAGUCAGGCUUGGGAGGGAAGAGGAAGUAGCAGAUGGAGUGUCAUGCUAGAAGUGACAGCAGGUGGGAACAGGUAAUAGCAGACAGAUGGGCCCCGUAUUGUGGGAAGACCACCAGCAUCACAUUUUCCACUGCUUUGUCCCCACAUAGUAAUAAGAUUCACUAUAGUUCAUUGGAAAAAUCUUAAUAAGCACAAACUCUCACAAAGGUAUAAUGCUGGGUAUCAUAAAGGGAAAGUGUAAAAAUAAGUCUGUUUCUGUUCUCACACUUUCUACUAAAGCUCAAGAAAUGUAGGAAAUGUAAAACAAGUACAAAAAGAGAGCAAUGUAACACAAAAGAGGGCAAGUAAAUGCUAACAGAGAAAUACAGAUAAAGCACUUGUGGAGUGGUGGCACUCAAGAUGAGUCUAGUCCACAGGGGUGAAGGGGCUGGAAAAGCAAGAGGAAGUGCUCCAGAGAAAGGGAAGCUCAGAGGCAGGCACAUGCCGGCGAGGAUUUGCUUACUUCCAAACGGCACAAUACGGGUAUAGACAGGCAGAUAUGUGUCAUGGGGAGCUAGCUAAUAAGGUGGUAAAGUCCCCCAACCAUCACUUUGUGGCUGGGAACAAGUCACAAACCUCUCACAACUUCCAUUUCUUCAUUUCUAAAAUGAGCUCGGUUCCACAAUUCCUUUUAGGUUGCAGAGUUAGUAGUCUCUAAUCAAGAAUCUUCUUAAAUGUGUUAAACUGAUAUUUCCCAAAGUAUGGGACAUAUUUGCUACCAGUGGAAUGCAAAUUUUAAGUGAUAUAUAUGUAAUAUUUAUGUUAAUAAUUACAUAAUCUUCAUAGAGUGUCCUAUUUAAAGCAUGUGAUACUGAUUUGCAUUUUUUGUAGUGUUAGAAGUUUACCUUUAAAAUUUUUAAAUGAAAAAUGUGUACCAAGUUGUAGAAAAAACUUGAGUAUUUCCAUUAUGUGUUACAUUUCAAUUCAUACAAGUUUUGCAGUUCACACCAUAAUGCAGCUAUGCUUGCUUUACUGUAAAAUCCAUUCCUGGACUCCUUCAUUCAUUGAACAAGUAUUUGUAGAGUGACAACUGCAUGGCCUACUCUAGUCCAGUGGUGAUAAUUUGGUAAACAAAACAAACAAAAAUCUUUGCCCUUGUAGAACUGACAUUCUUGAGAGGUGAUGUUACCAGACCAAAUGUGGGCCCCUUCUUGAGGGUUAAAUCAAACUGGACUGAGGCAGUUGUCUCACAAAGCAGAAAUUUUAUUUGCAGCAUGCAGCAAAGAAAAUGGAGACCACAGGGAAUAAUUCACAAAGCUAUAGCUCCGCAAGCAUGGGAGGUGGGUACCUUUAUUUAGGGUAGGAAUGAAUAUUCAGAGGGGAAGUUUCAUCAUCACAUGUAGAGGUGGGCAUAAGCUUACACAUGCAUAGUUUGAAAUCGUGCUUUUACAUAUAUCGCAUGAUCUAAAAAUGGCUGCUCCGCCCCUCCCACAGGAGGGGAAUUUACGAGGUUAAUAAGGGCAGGUUACUUUGGUACAACUCUGAGCCCAUCCGUGCAGGUGCCAGUCUUGUGGUUGUGGUCCAGGCCAUCCUGGGCCGGUUCAGUGCAGCUGGUUUCAUGGCGGUUGUCACUUAGAGCUUCUUCCCGGAACACAGCUGAAAACCGCAUAAGCGCAAGCCCCCAAGGUAUUAGAUAAAGGAACACUUUCACCUUGCAAGAAGACAGAAGAAUUAGGUCAAACAUAAAAGCUGGAUUUUUUUUUUCCUUCUUCUCCCCAAAGCCCCCCAGUACAUAGUUGUAUAUUCUAGUUGUAGGGCCUUCUAGUUGUGGCCUGUGGGAGGCCCCCCCAGCAUGGCUUGAUGAGCGGUGCCAUGUCCUCACCCAGGAUCCCAACAGACAAAACCCUGGGCCACCAAAGUAGAACUCGCGAACUUAAUCCCUUGGCCAUGGGGCCCGCCCCAGAAAAGUGAGUUUUAAACAGGGCAAGAGAAGCAGGUUAGGGUCCAUGUCUGGCAACUGUGAGACUGACAAUAACAAUAAACAUGGUAAAUAAGUAAAUUACAUACAGUGUUAGUAGAUGUUAAGUACUAGAGAGAAAGAAUAGAUCAAGAUAAGACAGAUUGGGAAAGCCAAGAGUGUAUGUUAAAUGAUGGCCAGCACCAUUGGAAAGGUAACAUUUUAUCAAAAAUUGUCAAAGGUCAGGAGUGAGCCCUGACAAUGUCUAGGGGGAGGAAUAAUGUGCUUUACUUCUCACUGAGUAAAAUUAAUGUUCCAAGAAAGUGUGUCCUAACUCUCCUCAGGAUUCCUGCAGCCUGGACUUACACACAUCAUGGUGACAACACCAAUACCAGGGAAGGCAGAAACGAGAGAAUCUUUUUUGGGGGAAAAGGAGAGGACAGAGGAGGUGUGUUUUACGUGGAACAUAGUUUUAAAUACUAGAGAGACAUCCCAUGGAGAAACCCAAGUCGUUGGAAAUGUGGGUCUAAAACUUGGAGGUGAAUUUGGGUUUGAAGAAGUAGAUUUUGGAGUCAUUUCUGUAACUAUAAUAUUUAACACAGUGCCAUUGCCUAGAGAAAAGAGGUAAACAGAGCCUAGAAAAGGCCUUCUGUAAGGGACUGGCGGUGGGUAAAGGGGACUGAGACAACCAACUUGUAUUGAGGGCUCUGGCCCCAAGAUGGCAAGGCAGUUUGCAUACAUUAUAUGUUGACUGCAAAGGAGGUAAGCAUUGAAUAAGGAAUAAACAUUUGUCUUUCAAGAAGUUUUCCAGAAGAGGCAACACAGCAUAGUGGUGGUUAAAGGUGUGGUCUCUAAAGUAAGAGAGACCUGAGUUUGAAUACCCAUAGUGUGGCUUUAGGCAACUUACUUAGCUCUUUGACUCUUUCGGAGCCUGAGGCCAUGAUGUCCACAUCCUACACUGCAGGGUUGUUCUGAGGCUUCAGUGAGAAACUGUGUGUAAAGGGGCGGGCUCCAUAGUCAGCUCUCAGUAAGUGUUGGCUGUUGUUUCGGUAAAAUAAAGAGAUAACGUGGUAGCUUAAAAUAAUAACAAAUGAACAGAUUUUAUGGCUGUUAUUUAAAAAUAAGGGAAAUUUGAGCAUUUUUAUAGGGGAUUAUUUGCAAUGGGAGGAUAAACUUCAGCUAAAUAAGAUCUUUCAAGAUUAAACAAGUUUUUCUCGUUUUUGCAAUUAUUAUGCAAUUUGAAUAAGAUCAACUAUAGUUUGGUCUUUUAGUUCAGUGGUUCUUAUUCCCUCUUUAAAAAAGUUAGAAAUCCCCUUAAUGUAAACAAUGGCUGUUCUCUGCAAAAAAAAAAAAAAAAUGCAUAUAAACAUGCUAAAGAAUGCAUCCAGGGGCUGGCCCCGGGGCUGAGUGGUUAAGUUCGCGCGCUCCGCUGCAGGCGGCCCAGUGUUUUGUUGGUUCAAAUCCUGGGCGCGGACAUGGCACUGCUCGGCAAGCCACGCUGAGGCAGCGUCCCACAUGCCACAACUAGAAGGACCCACAAUGAAGAAUAUGCAACUAUGUAGCGGGGGGCUUUGGGGAGAAAAAGGGAAAAAAUAAAAUCUUUAAAAAGAAUGCAUCCAAAAUUUGGAAAUAAAGCAAAAGGACAAGUGGGCCAUUUCAAAGUUUUCUAGAACAGCAUCUAACAAGCCUGACUUUGGGGAUACAGCUUUGUCUGACUUACUAUUUACUAUUGAUUAGGGCCUAAAAGCUAUAAAGUUACAUCUUAACUUGCAGAAAAUUGAUAAAAUGGAAGUGAUUUUUGUCCAGUUGAGAUGCAAAUGAUUUCUCUCCAAAAGAGAAGAUAAUCUGAAAGGUUAUGCUCUGAUUGGCGUGCAGUACACUCACCAGCUUUGAAUCUAAUUUACCAAUCAUAUUCCAGCAUUCUUUCUUUUACUGACAUGAGUCUCUUAUAUCUUUCUUUGAACUGCUUUUGCCACCUUGCCGGUUCCCUCAUUAAUAAGGUAAGUAAAUUUUUCAUGCUCACUAUGUACUUGCGUGAGAGUUACAUUUCUGGCUUUUUAAAAUUAUGCUUUGGCAUAAUGUAUCAGUUAGUGCUUAAGCAAAACCAUGUGUAUAUUUAUUAUAUAUGUCUAUAUUAUAUUAAUAUAUAGUUAUUAAGAUAUAGUUUAUCACAGGGAUUUGACCUUAUCGCACUGUGGGAGCUGGUUAAGUGGUCUAAGUAAGAAUGUGAAGCUGUUUCUGUGUCUCCUGCUGGCACCUGAAGUCCACAGGCAGUUGGGAAAAGAAGAUGGAUGUGAAGGAGAGCAAGCAAAGACAAGCUGGAUGAAGGAGAAGCUGGUGUCUUCCAUCACGGAGCUGAAUACGCAUCUGGUCCAGGACUCAGGGAAGCUGAUCCAGCAGGAGGAUCUGGCAGGGGCCCAGCUGCUGCCCCAAGCCAACAAGUCCCGGGAGAUGCUCAGCGGAUACAAUCUUUCUACAGAGCGAAGUCUGAAUGGGGGCCGGAGGGAGAACGAGGAUGGACAGGACGUCCCAGAAAGCCAUCGGCGCCAGGGCCAUGCCUCGCACCUGACCUGCACAGCAGGUGGCCCAGAGCUCAAGUCAAGCAGCGGCCAGUCCCGAGUCCCGCCCUCUGAGAGGGCGCAGGCCCGGACAACGCUGGCUCAAAUACGUGAUAAACAUCGCUCGUCGACUAUACACUCAACAACCAAAAUAAGUCUCUGUAUGGACUGAAAUAGAAAUGCAAGUAUAUUGAGUGCUGAAAAUAAAGCAAGAUGUUUCUGUUGGAGUGGAUCAAUGGAAGGAAGAACUCUCCUUUAAAAGAUCUCUUGAACAUAGAUGGAGGAAUGAUGAGUCGUGUUUAAUUAUUUAAGUAUGGAAUUCACCCAAAGGGCACUUGAUGCUUCUGGUCUAUUGGGAGAUACUGGAUGUGAAAGACAGCAAAAUCCCGGAUCAACUUGACUUUAUAUCUGAGCCAAAAGUCAUUCAGAGUGAGGAACUGGAAAGGCCAGAUGAAGAAAAGUGUGUGGAAAGUAAACAAUGCAGUGAUCGGAGGCGUGUGUGCACUUUCCUUGGACUUUAGAUGGAAGAGGGUCAACAUGCCCUUUGUUUCCGUCUGUGUGAUUGACUCGCUCUGCGCCAUGCUUGCUAACUGAGACCUUCCUUCAGCUCUUCAGCUGAGCUGUGAGUGGCUUUGAGGGUUGGGAGGUCUCCCACUGAGGGGUCAGGGGUCGGGUCCUGUAUACUUUUUGAAGAGCAGGGGCAUUUGAGCAAAACAAAACUGGAGUUAAUCCCUGCUUUCCUAUUAGAAAAGUUGUGUUCUUUCUCUAUGCCUGUUUCCCCAUUUGUUAAAAAGUGAUAAUGGUAAUACAACUUAGUGAGGCUGUUGUGAAGAAUAAAUAAGAAAUUUGACAUAAAGAGCAAGCUGACAUUUACUAAGUUCUCAAUAAAUGUUGAUAAAUAUCUAAUUGAUCCACUACAACUCACAUAGGCUAGGAGUUUUUGUCUUUGCCUAAACAUUCUCGUGGCUUUUAUGCAAGCUUUUCUUUGUCCUGGUCUCCAAGUGGCAUGCUAACGGCAACUUUUACUGGCUCGCAAGAGCCGAUUAUUAAAUUUUUAGGAAUUUUGAGCUCUGGUUGUUAAAUACUGCCAAUAUUUAAAAAUAGAUGAAAAGAAACAUAUAAUUAAAUAAUUAUAUUUAAAACAAAGUUGAUAAAUACUCAAAACUCAUCACUUCCUAAUUAGUUCACUGGAUUUUACUAUUAUCUAUACUCUUGAGGUUAUGUCUAUUUUUAUCUGUGUGGUGAAAACAUGUGCCUCGCUUCCAAACUUGUGUUCAGUGACAUCCCUCUUGUGGCUUGAAAAGAGCCAAGUGGCUUGAAAACAGACAUCCCUCUAAGUGGCUUCUGUAGACCAUUGCUCCACAGAAAUACGCGAAUACUAAAUUCAAGACUUUUCCCAAAGAGCCAAUUAUUAAACACUUAUCAUAAUUUCGUGUUUAUUAAUUCUACACAUGGAAAAAUCGGAUUAAUUUUAUGUGAGAAUGUACAAAAAUUUAUUCUGAUAAGCUUUUUAUGCUGUGCAGGAGCCAACUCUAAAUGAGUCAAAUAAACUACAUAUUCUAGUGUAAUUCCUUCAUGAAUUAAAAAAGUGCAAACAACAAAAUUUCCAUUUUUAGUGAAAAUGAAAUUUCUGUAAAACAUGCCACUUAAUAAACUUCUAAAUGAAUGUGCAUUCAUCAAACAUUUUGAUUUUAACUGGCUAUUUUUGAAGUAUCUGAAAGUUUACCUAUUCUUGAUUUGGGGAAAUUGCUGAAAAUCAUAAAAUUAUUAUUUGUCUCCAAGUAUGUAGAGAUAUAGUUUUAAAUAAAAAUAUUAAUAUGUAACUGUGCAUCAAUGCUGCUUUGUUUUUAAAAUAAAAAGUCAUUCAACCCGGUGCCUGGCACAGAUUGGAAAUGAAGUGAAAUAGAGGAAAGAGCAUGAGAUUUACAUCUGGAAGAUUUGGGUUCAAGUCCUGCUCAUCGUUUGUGUGCUGUGACCUCCAGGCAGCAGUCAGUUAACUAUCGAGACGCUGUCUAGAAUGCUGGGCCUGGAGAACGCGUUCAGACUACAGACUGCCCAUCAGCCAGGUUCCUUUUCGGCAAGGACACAUCACUUGUCCUAUCAGCAUCAUGGGAGAUUACAAGGAGGUGACCAUGGACAGACAUUUCAAGACGAGUCCCUCUGGCCUUAGACCUAUAGUUUGUGAAAUGAGUCAUUUUGCUUCUCCUUUUCUCUGUCCUUCUGAC
rnacentral:lncRNA from 1 species